rnacentral:lncRNA from 1 species
CUAAUCUGGAUGAAGAAUAUUUAGCUUGAAGUAGAGGCAAAGGCAUGAUGGGAAUUCCUGACAUAACUUCUAUCCAAUCAUAAACAAUAGCGGGAGGAGUCUGGAACUAUUGAACGUUGCCGAUAUAUCUCUAUGACAACCACAACGCGUUCUCCUGCGCUUCUACGAAGCGCUCCAAAGAAACCGAGGGAAAACUCAGGUCAGACUCAGAGAGCAACAAUUUCAAUCGACCCAGAGCUACAUGACAUAAAGAAAGAGGCUCCACCGGAGGCAGAAGGUAUGAGACAGACAGCCCCUGUGGUGCCCCUCGACCUCAGUCUGGGGGACCUGACCCUCAUGCCCCGAAGACUGGUCAUCGCCCCGCAUCAAUGACAAUAGGAUUUGGCAAGACAGCACAAACAGAUCUGUGACCUGUGGGGUAUACUACAAAACAGGUUCAAUGAGUUAGCCAGCUAACUUGCCUAAAUAUUCUGGGAAAAGGUAGAUUAGUAGACUAUAGAGUCAGGAGCCUGGAUAAAGGUAGAAUAGACUCUUGUAAUUAAAAAAUAUAUAUAUGCUUGAAAUUGGCAUGGUCUAAUUGACUCAACAACCAAAAACACAUAUCUAAGUUUAGCUUUUUUAAAGAACCAGAAAAUCCAUAAUUAUUUCUGGUUGUUUAUCAAAGUUAGCAGGCUAACUCAUUGAACCUGCUUUGUAGUACACCCAACAGGUGUCCUAUGUUCUGCUCUUGCAUAGUCUGCCAAAGUAAUGCUGAUUGUCUAGCUCCGGGCUCCAUGUCGCCACCGCUGCCUUGUCAUUGACUAUAUUGGUCACUAGAUGGCAGUAUAAGACAUGAGGUUUGUCUUGAUAAUGACAGGUGAUGUGCUCCCGUAUCAUGUACUGUUAAAAAAGGGUUUUAUGGCUCAUGGAGAGGGGACACGUUCCUGUAUCUGAAAUUAUUUAAACUUUUCCUACUAAGCCUUACUUUAUAACUUUUUAUGACAAGUGCUGUGCAGAGAUGUUUGGUGUGGGUGUCACUGCCUUUUUCUGUUUUCAGAACUACACUGAAAAAAGAGUGUUUCCCAUGUUUCAUGAGCUGAAAUAAAAGAUCCCAUAAAUGUUCCAUACGCAUAAAAAUAAUAUUUCUCUCAAAUGUUGUGCACAAAUUUGUUUAAAUCCCUGUUAGUAAGCAUUUCUACUUUGCCAAGAUAAUCCAUCCUCCUGACAGGUGUGGCAUAUCAAGAAGUUGAUUAAACAGCAUGAUCAUUACACAGGUGAACCUUGUGCUGGGGACAAUAAAAGGCCACUCUAAAAUGUGCAGUUUUGUCACACAACACAAUGCAGGAAUGUCCACCAGAGCUGUUUCCAGAGAAUGUAAAGUACAUUUCU